GAGAAAACAGAAAUGGGUAAUGUUCUCCUUUCUGUCGCUUCUGUGCAACAUGAAUGACGAGAGGCAAAAUUUAUGUGGGAUUAUUCUUCUCUCUAAACCAAAAGCAGCACUGGCUCCAAAUUCAGAGGAAACGUCAGCAGAUGGAGAUAGGGGGAAAAAAACAGUGGAGUCAUCUGCUUAAAAACAUAAUCAAACACAGAUCCUGACAACAUACUUCAGAUUUAUGCCUACCACUAAUAAAAUAUGAAACAUUGUUGCUAGUGUGAUGACUACUUGAACAGGACUUUUCCAAUCCCUUCUUUACCCAAGGAGAGGACUGUUGCAGAGCCAUUUACUGUGUCUCUAAACAGAAAGAAUAUACAUACAACCCAUAAACAUGAUGAUGUCUUGAUGUAGAUACUUGUAUUUUUGAUGCUGCUUUUUGUGGUAUCCUGUUGUGUUAUGUUGCAACAUUCUCAUAUGUACCAUAUUUUAAGCUAGUUUGCUAUUAAGAUUCAAUAAAGAUUUUUUUUUAAGUGA